rnacentral:vault_RNA from 1 species
GCGUAGGCAUCGUCUAGUGGUUACUUCGCAAUCCUUCAGCUUGACAUUGUACUAUUAUGACCACGGACGCAAUCCUGCGCUUUU